AGACGGCCCGGUCCGCUUCUCAGGACCGAGCGGAUGUGCGCUCCUGGUUAGGCUGGAAGGAGCCAGGCGCAGGGGAAGAGAGGCCUGGGAAGCCGGGAAGGCCAGGGCGGAGCUCCUCCCACUGCGGAGGCGUCCACCCCGGGGAGCCAGGAGCAGGCGUCCCGCGAGCGUCACCUCGCCUCCCACAUGUCUGCGUCCCUAUCCCUGAGAACGGAAGGCGGCUGGCGAGGCGGACACACACAGUACAAGGCACGCAGGGGGCUCCCCACGCGCCGGAACCCGAGGCUGGCAGUGAGCUUGGGAAUCCAGGCGGAAGUGUGCCAAGACAAGCGCGAAGAGACAGCUCGCAAGUGGGGCCCUGGGGACCUCUCUCCCCGGCCCUCACAGCCUCUCUCAAGGGCAGGAUCCACCCACUUUACAGAUGAGGAAACUGAGGCUGGACACAGCACACUGCGAGACCAGGGAGCUGCAAGAACAGAGCACGGAUGGGAACCCACAGGCUUCUCCAAACGCAGGGGCUCCCGGAAGUGGCUGAUGGCCUGCAGGAGAGGCCCUCAGAGAGCUGGGAGAGUAGGGAGUCCCUCAUGCCCCUUACAGACAGAGACUGUCGCUCCCGGCCCUCCUGCUCUGGACAGAGAAGGCUUCCUGCGCUGGCUGCCGGGUCCUCUGCUGCUUUCCUGGGUGGUGGAGAGUGGCUGCCCAGCCCGGUGGGUGGAAGGAAAGCUGGCAGGGCUCCCGAGUGACACACUUAUUAUAGCUCACCUUGUCCCCAGAAAUGAGUGAGAGACUCCACACAGGCCCUGCUCUGCCCAACUCGGGCCUGGUACAGGAGCCACCUCUAGCCCAGCCCCAGGCUCCGUGUUGUGGACAGUGUGUCAGGGUUCUCUGUCCUCACCCGCUCCACGAUCCUGUUUUUCCCACUGAGAAACUGGCCCAGAGAGCUUAAGGUGGGGGGGGGGGCGGUCACAGGAAGCCCCCGCAUGGCUUUUGUGCGGAAGAAGCCUCGAACACAGUCUCUGCUGGGGAGUAACAGGAGCCAGGGGAGGCCAGGGGGCCAUAGCUGUGCUGGGUCAGAGGGGCCUUCCUGGCCAUUGGGACCUCCCAGCCAGGACUGCUGCACCCCCGGACAGGACAGAAGCCUCCUGCUACCCAGCUCCAUUCUCUAGACUCCUGGGGCUACACCCAGUCAGCCUUCCACACCCGCACCCCAGGAAGAAGUCCCCCCACCCAGCUUGACACCUGGGAUGGCCCUGCACCCAGAGACACCCGGAGAUCCACAGCAGGCGGGCUUCUGCUCUCCUUCCUGUACAGCAGGAAUGCUGAAAAGGUCCCGAGAAGCCUGGCACGUGUUAGAGGUGGGUGGUGGGGAAGCCAGGCACAGCUGCCGUCCUGAGGAGGGACAGGGACUCCAGUGGUGGCUGCCAGCCUCCCGACCUCCCCUGCUGCAUUCCACCCCCUUCCUUGCGUGCCUGUGUUAAAAAGCAAACAUUUCAAACGCCUUGGUGAGUGGAGGCCAGGCAAGGCAGAGCGGACAGGGAAUGCUUCUCUGGGAAGUUUGGGAAAGCAUUUCAAGUAUGUUGUGUCAGAAAGCACUCCAGAGGGAGGGGACAGCCUCAGUGGUCCUGACCCAGCCUGUCCCCCUCACCUGGACAGCAGCACAUCCCUGGCAGAGCUGUGGCCAAGGAAUAGGACUGUAGACCUCGCCUUAUGCAGACUGCAUAGAGGACCCGGUUCCUCUGAGACCCCAGUGCCUUCUGAAGACCUUGAGG
rnacentral:lncRNA from 1 species